rnacentral:ncRNA from 2 species
AAGGGAAAACAGGGGAGCCAAAAGGCUGAGAAUGAGUGCACCGCAUUCUAAACCCUCGAACCUGAUACGGGUAAUGCCGGCGUAGGAAGCAUAUCGACACGAUUU